UAGUUUUUACCUUGCCUUGCAUUUUUCGUCGUGCUAGGUGAUGGAUUUGUUAACUUUGAUGGAGUGCGUUUAGGAGCGUGUGUUGUUUUGCCCUGUAAGACUUCUAUAGCCUUAGACUUGGUACUCUUCUGUUUUAUUUUUUGAUAAACACCCGAGACUUGUACUGUUGCGCCGGCCUUUUCAAUAACUUGUUUAAUUGUGAAAUUGUGAAUAGCUCAAAACCUCUUGAAAUGCUGCAAAAUGCACCAAGAAAAUCAAUGCACUAAUAUAUGUCCU
rnacentral:lncRNA from 1 species